rnacentral:lncRNA from 1 species
GCAGGUAAAAAACACUGAACCAAAACAUAAUUACUGAGUUUAUAACAUUUUGGUAAAUGCAAAUCGUUUAUAAAAUAAAAUCAGUUCAGAAAAUUUAAAGGAAACUGAAAAUACCAAAUUUCUUUUUUAGCAUUAUGUUAUAUAUUGUGGAAAUACACUAAUUAGGUUUCAAAUAAAUAGAAACAAGAAUCAAAUUAUUAUAUAAUUGGCAUUUUCUUCUCUGGCCUCAUCUCCUACUGCCUAACCUCUUGGUUGCUCCAUUCAUUCACACUGGUCGUACUGUUUUUCAAAGAUCCAGGCAAGGUAUGAUUUCUUUAUUAGAUCUUGGUGUUACUUCUGUCCAAAACAGUCUCCUCUGAGAUAUCCUCCCUUAAAUAUUUGUUUAAAUGUCCUUAUAUUUGUAAGGGAUGCAUCAGAAAACAGAUUUCAUCCCAGACGUUCAAA